CCUACGGGAGGCAGCAGUGGGGAAUAUUGGACAAUGGGCGCAAGCCUGAUCCAGCCAUGCCGCGUGAGUGAUGAAGGCCUUAGGGUUGUAAAGCUCUUUUGUCCGGGACGAUAAUGACGGUACCGGAAGAAUAAGCCCCGGCUAACUUCGUGCCAGCAGCCGCGGUAAUACGAAGGGGGCUAGCGUUGCUCGGAAUCACUGGGCGUAAAGGGCGCGUAGGCGGCCGAUUAAGUCGGGGGUGAAAGCCUGUGGCUCAACCACAGAAUUGCCUUCGAUACUGGUUGGCUUGAGACCGGAAGAGGACAGCGGAACUGCGAGUGUAGAGGUGAAAUUCGUAGAUAUUCGCAAGAACACCAGUGGCGAAGGCGGCUGUCUGGUCCGGUUCUGACGCUGAGGCGCGAAAGCGUGAGGAGCAAACAGGAUUAGAUACCCUGGUAGUCCACGCCGUAAACGAUGAAUGCCAGCGUGUCUGCUGCAGUCGAGUGGCGCCGCGUACGACAUAAGCAUCCGUCCGUGGGAGGUACGGUCGCGAGAUAAACUACAAUAGAGUAGACGGCGUGAGACGUGCCGACGGACGACGACGAGGGAGGUAGG
rnacentral:rRNA from 1 species